rnacentral:lncRNA from 1 species
UUUGUAUGUUGGCAACCCGCAGUCCAUUGCCUAGUAGACAAAAGGUAAUUCUCUGUAUUCAUUGUUAAUUGCUAUACAAUUCUGUAAUGGAAGCAUAACCUUUACCCUAGCCAACCUAGUGGCAAAAACAAGCUGCAACAGGACACGACUAUGUGGGUGAAGGUAAGACAUAGUCAUUAUCCCCAAUCGCAUUACACAUGAACACACUUAACAGUAAUAAGUGUGGUCUUUUGACCGUAAAACCCCCCUCCCCAAAAAAACAGAGGGUAUCAGUUCUUCCUGCUACAAUGGAAGGAAGUGCGUCACAAACGCAGCGUACCUCGAAACAAAGAAGAAUGGAACGCUGCUCAGGCGAAGCGAAAAACAGAAGAGGGGAAAUGUUGGAGUGUGUGGUGGAAGAAGUGAACAAAUAGCCGGGGCUUGGAGAAUAAAAUAACUCAAGUGGCCAGGGGACUUCUGAGCAGGCAACGGAGGAGUCAACCCCACCAUCUGCAGCUAUGGAUAAACAGGACCUCCGCAAGUCUCUCACCUCACUGGACGUUUCGUCGACAUUGUUUUGUUGGCUGGAAAAAGGCCCAAUCAAAACAACAGCACUCUUUACUAGAAACCGACAAAGGAACGUGUUAGUUGGCCACCUGACAAGAAGCGCUUUAGGUCAGGUUUUUAUUUAGGUGGUUCACUGCCUCAGCUUGUUUUCCCCCUCACUGCUCCAAAACAGGUCAUACCGAAUCGUGUUUUCAGUGGCGCUUUUCAACGGAGCCACAACACACAAUGGGGAAAUGUAUCUCUGUCCGUCAACAAGGUCGUCCAGUGCAAUUUACGAGAAUUCCGUCUGGAGCAGGGAGGCCAGGCAGCUUGGAAUGUUAAUGGCUUCCGGUUUGAGCACAAGUCGAACUCACGUUGUUUGACUAACUGAUAGCCUUUCUUAUGAUGUUGUCUGCAUUCCUGUCCCCUGGUGACUCCUACACACAAAGUGAAUAAGUGUAAUGACUUAACUCAAGGAUGAUCUAGAUAGUGUUGGCACGAUACCAUAAUGUUGAAUUUGAUACCGAUAGCAAGUUUAGUAUCGCAAUACUCAAUAUCAUCAAGAUCUUCGAUACCAAAACGAUACCACGGCAAAAAAAUAAGCUACGCUUUUAAUCGUGUUCCCUGAUGUAAACUUGAAAUGGAAGCAAAUUAAAUGGGAUUUCUAUAAUGACUGAUGAGUAUUCCCACUAGGGAUUCUUUUAGGCGCUAAGGGACAGUCAGCUAGUGAAGAUGAAGACACUGACUUCUCCUGAGUGCUCCUGUCUCCUGCAUAACAGACUCUCUUUCCCCUUUGCC